rnacentral:rRNA from 1 species
AGAGUUUGAUCAUGGCUCAGAUUGAACGCUGGCGGUAGGCUUAACACAUGCAAGUCGUGCGAGAAAGUACCUUCGGGUGCGAGUAGAGCGGCGGACGGGUGAGUAACGCGUAGGAAUCUACCUAGUAGAAGGGGAUAGCCCGAGGAAACUCGGAUUAAUACCGUAUACCUCCUCAGGGAGAAAGAGGGCUUAGCUUUGAUGCUCUCGCUAUUAGAUGAGCCUGCGUAAGAUUAGCUUGUUGGUGAGGUAAAGGCUCACCAAGGCGACGAUCUUUAGCUGGUCUGAGAGGACGAUCAGCCACAUUGGGACUGAGACACGGCCCAGACUCCUACGGGAGGCAGCAGUGGGGAAUAUUGGACAAUGGGCGCAAGCCUGAUCCAGCCAUACCGCGUGUGUGAAGAAGGCUUUCGGGUUGUAAAGCACUUUAAGUAAGGAGGAAAAGAUUGUAGUUAAUACCUGCAAUCCGUGACGUUACUUACAGAAUAAGGACCGGCUAAUUCCGUGCCAGCAGCCGCGGUAAUACGGAAGGUCCAAGCGUUAAUCGGAAUUACUGGGCGUAAAGCGCGCGUAGGUGGUUUUUUAAGUUGGAUGUGAAAGCCCUGGGCUCAACCUAGGAACUGCAUCCAAAACUAGAUGACUAGAGUACGAAAGAGGGAAGUAGAAUUCACAGUGUAGCGGUGGAAUGCGUAGAUAUUGUGAAGAAUACCAAUGGCGAAGGCAGCUUCCUGGUUCUGUACUGACACUAAGGUGCGAAAGCGUGGGUAGCGAACAGGAUUAGAUACCCUGGUAGUCCACGCCGUAAACGAUGACAACUAGCUGUUGGGAGACAAGAUCUCU